UUUAUUGCUGCUCUGCUCUUUCUUCAUCCACAGACAGCUCACAUGCAUUUUGCAUCCUAUUUAUAGAUUUAUUGAUAAUACUAUUCCAUCAGCAUGCCAGAAUGGUAGAUAGAUACAGCUGAAUAUAAUUUGAGCAAAUAUUAGAUGCUUUUAAAACUAAGAUUUGCAUCCUUCUUCUGUCUCAUCGUGUAAUUUGUCAUCCAGGGCAACAGAGCUUUCCAAUAAUGGGAUAUCUCAUAUUUCUUCAAAGAAAGAGAAUGGCAAUAUUUGCCACCUACAUGAUCACCAACAGUUCAUGCGCCAGAGGAAAACAUUUAUUUUGCUGAAUACAUAAUCCAAAAUUUGGAUGAAAUUGGACAUGCUACUUCAGCAAAAAAUACAGAAGUAACCAUCACUUGCUACAAACACUUUCUAAGAAUCAAGAAUGAUUUGGACACCCAUCCUUUAGCCACCUGCCUGCUAUUUUUCCUGGUCACCUCCCACAAGUUAUGAAUAUGUUAUUUAGUGUCUAUAUUACACUGAUAGCAGCCACAUCUUCAUCCACCAUGUGAUGGCCAGUUUGUACCUCUGUCAUUUCGGGAUAACACCCUGUGAUUUGCUGAUGCAACUGUGACUGUGCUGAAAGCUGGAUUGGUGAGUAGUUGUGCAUUAUAAUAAUACUUCUCAUAACGUACUCACGAAUGACUUUAUAAUCACCGCCAGUUUUAAUCCAUAA